GCCUGCCACCACACCUGGCUAAUUUUUUUUGUAUUUUUAGUAGAGACGGGGUUUCACUGUGUUAGCCAGGAUGGUCUUGAUCUCCUGACCUUGUGAUCCGCCCACCUCGGCCUCCCAAAGUGUAUGUGUUUUUAUGAAGUUGUGGAAACAAAUGCCUGAAUGCAAUUAUUUGUGGGCUCCAAGUACCUUUAUAGUCCACCCACAGUAAAUAAUGUUUUUUGCAUUUCCAAACAUUGACGAAUACUUAAAACUUUACACUAUGUACUUUGGGGCUGGCUGGUAGUAUAAACAUUGUUUCCUUGAAGUUUAGUUAAGACUCCUAGGUUGGUCUUCUAGAGUUCCUUUAUUUGCAAAACUCCAAAAAUGUACUAGUUUUAACUUGUCUAAAUUCCUUACAUCUAAUUAUUUUCCAUCCAUUAAAAGACUAACAAGUCCAUAAAAAUUGAGAGAUUAAUGUAACUCAGGAAAAUUCCAUCUUCUCUGGGAAGACACAACUCAGUGUAGGCAGAAUAGUUUAAAAAAUACUAUAACUUUUUACCCCUUUUCCUUCUGGUGCUGACAGAGAUCAAAUAUCAAAUGGUCCAGGUCAGAGAUUAGUUAUGGGGAUUCUUCAGUUAAAAAUGGUGCACUCCUAUGCACUCACUCUCUUGAGACCAAUGAAUAUGUUAACAGUUAGUGUUGCUUAAAUGUUUAUUGCCUUCCUUUUAGUAAAAUCAAUUAUUAAAAAAUUGUUGGCUUACAUGUGAUUCCAUAUAUGUAAAUGGUGGAAUCUUUAUUUGCUAUCUUGCAAAAAAUAUUGGAAUUAAUGUAAAGCAUAUAAAAUAUUGAAACUCAUAAAGCCAAAAACAUUCUCAAGUGUUCUGCCAAUGUUCAUUAUAGUUUCCUUAAAAUACAAUAUAUAAAUGAAAACUAUUCCAGACACUUCUCCCACAUUAUACUCUUGUGCUUUUUGCAUUUCCUUUCUCCAGAGGGAAAAUUUAUAGAGGGCAUGGGGUGGCCAUAUAGCAGGGGAAGCGGGUUGCACGAGAAGAAUGUAACAGAAAUUUACCAGAUUGUAUUCACGAUCUGAAACUGAUCUGAGAACAGAAAUGGCCUUUCAUGUGCAUGGCUUGUUCAAGGCAAAGGGUAGGUUUUAAAGAAGUUAGAAUUUGCCUUUGAUGCCUCACACUCUUGCAGCCUGCCACUUCUUUGUAGUUGAGGAUAUUCUCCUUGCAAGGUUGUGGACAUAUGGUUACAUAUUUCAUUAUCUUCUGUUUGAAAUUGGUUGGUUACAUUUUUAAUUUUUGUUAUGAGCUUACAUUUGCUUUCUCAUUCCCAUUUUAUUAUUUAACAUCAAUAAUUACCAAAGAGGUUAUUGAGUGUUAUUGUUAGGAAUAAGACAGAUGCAAGUUUAAAUCCUGGCUUUGACACUUACUGGGAGACUUGUCUCAGUGGCCUACCUUCUAUGUGCCUCAAUUUCCUCAAACAUAGGAUGAUGACAGUCCUCACAUUAUGAGAUUGUUGUGAUGAGGAUUAUAUCAAGCGACUUAUGGGAAAAGAUCAGUGCAAAAUAUAAGCCCUGAUAUAUUUUAAUUAGAAAUUGAAUAAUACAUGCCUUGGAAAUAAACAAUAAUAAAUUCAACAUGUGUAGUAAAUAUAUAAUAACAAAGGAAAUUUGGGUGAAACAUUUCUCAGUUAUAAGAAGGAAGAUUUUUUGAUUUGUAUUAUAGAGUGUUUAGUCCGGAAACAUUUAUCAUUACAAAGAACAGCAUGAAAUCUUAAUUAGAUUCCCUCACUAGGAGUUAUCAAGAUAAAAGAAAUGCAGAGGAUUAAUAACAUUAUAUUUAAAGUAAAUAUCCACUGUCUAUGUGCGUUAAAUAUUCCAUUUCAGAAAACUUAGAGAUUAUUUAUUUAUACUAGGAUGAAUGUAUAUCAUAUUAGACUUCUUAAAUGAAUAACAAUUCUGCUUUAGGGAAGCAGUAGUAGGAUGCUGAUAGUAGGCUAUCGGGAUAUUUAUCUGUCUUUCUAUCCAUCGGCUUGUAUGCAUCUAAGUAUUUAUACAUCCUAUCAGAAUCACAAAAUACAUACAAGUAAAUGCCAACAAAAUCUCAAAAUGCAAUUAAAUUUAGGACAUUUUUGCCUUGAAUGGCCUCCAUACUUAAUCUCAAUUAUUCCUUGAAAUUUGGGAGAAUAAUACAUUUUAUUACACAAAUAAACAUAUGAUUUGAGUUAGAAUCACUGAUGACAAAAUGUUAAUCUAAAGUACCAACACAAGGGUGAGUUGGUUGAACAGAAUGUGUAUAGUUGGGGACUUUCAGAUGAUUGUCAUGUGGGCGUGUGUGACUAACAGUAUGGUUGAUUAUACACUAGAAUGUUGUGGUCUAGAAAUAAUGCUUAAUUUUGUUCCAAGCAUUUUGUUCAACCUGAUAUGCAAACAGUAAUAUAUCUCAAUAUCUUCUGGAAGAUGAAACCUUAAGUCAUUUAAGGACGCAAGCAGCAACAUUAACUGUUAUCAGACUUUGGUUUAUUGUAAAAUUUAGCAAAGUUUUUC
rnacentral:lncRNA from 1 species